UACGUAGGGUGCAAGCGUUUAAUCGGAAUUACUGGGCGUAAAGCGUGCGCAGGCGGUUGGACAAGACAGAUGUGAAAUCCCCGGGCUCAACCUGGGAAUGGCAUUUGUGACUGUUCGGCUAGAGUGUGUCAGAGGGGGGUAGAAUUCCACGUGUAGCAGUGAAAUGCGUAGAGAUGUGGAGGAAUACCGAUGGGCGAAGGCAGCCCCCUGGGAUAACACUGACGCUCAUGCACGAAAGCGUGGGGAGCAAACAGG
rnacentral:rRNA from 1 species